rnacentral:rRNA from 1 species
CAAAGGAAUUGACGGGGCCCGCACAAGCGGUGGAGCAUGUGGUUUAAGUCGAAGCAACGCGAAGAACCUUACCAGGUCUUGACAUCCCGAUGCUAUUUCUAGAGAUAGAAAGUUACUUCGGUACAUCGGUGACAGGUGGUGCAUGGUUGUCGUCAGCUCGUGUCGUGAGAUGUUGGGUUAAGUCCCGCAACGAGCGCAACCCCUAUUGUUAGUUGCCAUCAUCCAGUUGGGCACUCUAGCGAGACUGCCGGUAAUAAACCGGAGGAAGGUGGGGAUGACGUCAAAUCAUCAUGCCCCUUAUGACCUGGGCUACACACGUGCUACAAUGGUUGGUACAACGAGUUGCGAGUCGGUGACGGCGAGCUAAUCUCUUAAAGCCAAUCUCAGUUCGGAUUGUAGGCUGCAACUCGCCUACAUGAAGUCGGAAUCGCUAGUAAUCGCGGAUCAGCACGCCGCGGUGAAUACGUUCCCGGGCCUU